GGCCCCAUAGUCUAGUGGUUAGGACGUCGGCCUCUCACGCCGAUAACCCGGGUUCAAGUCCCGGUGGGGUCACCA
rnacentral:tRNA from 1 species